rnacentral:rRNA from 1 species
GAUUAAGUUAUUAAGGGCGCACGGUGGAUGCCUUGGCACUAGAAGCCGAUGAAGGACGUUACUAACGACGAUAUGCUUUGGGGAGCUGUAAGUAAGCUUUGAUCCAGAGAUUUCCGAAUGGGGAAACCCAGCAUGAGUUAUGUCAUGUUAUCGAUAUGUGAAUACAUAGCAUAUCAGAAGGCACACCCGGAGAACUGAAACAUCUUAGUACCCGGAGGAAGAGAAAGAAAAUUCGAUUCCCUUAGUAGCGGCGAGCGAAACGGGAAGAGCCCAAACCAACAAGCUUGCUUGUUGGGGUUGUAGGACACUCUAUACGGAGUUACAAAGGACGACAUUAGACGAAUCAUCUGGAAAGAUGAAUCAAAGAAGGUAAUAAUCCUGUAGUCGAAAAUGUUGUCUCUCUUGAGUGGAUCCUGAGUACGACGGAGCACGUGAAAUUCCGUCGGAAUCUGGGAGGACCAUCUCCUAAGGCUAAAUACUCUCUAGUGACCGAUAGUGAACCAGUACCGUGAGGGAAAGGUGAAAAGCACCCCGGAAGGGGAGUGAAAUAGAACCUGAAACCGUGUGCUUACAAGUAGUCAGAGCCCGUUAAUGGGUGAUGGCGUGCCUUUGUAGAAUGAACCGGCGAGUUACGAUUUGAUGCAAGGUUAAGCAGUAAAUGUGGAGCCGUAGCGAAAGCGAGUCUGAAUAGGGCGUUUAGUAUUUGGUCGUAGACCCGAAACCAGGUGAUCUACCCUUGGUCAGGUUGAAGUUCAGGUAACACUGAAUGGAGGACCGAACCGACUUACGUUGAAAAGUGAGCGGAUGAACUGAGGGUAGCGGAGAAAUUCCAAUCGAACCUGGAGAUAGCUGGUUCUCUCCGAAAUAGCUUUAGGGCUAGCCUCAAGUGAUGAUUAUUGGAGGUAGAGCACUGUUUGGACGAGGGGCCCCUCUCGGGUUACCGAAUUCAGACAAACUCCGAAUGCCAAUUAAUUUAACUUGGGAGUCAGAACAUGGGUGAUAAGGUCCGUGUUCGAAAGGGAAACAGCCCAGACCACCAGCUAAGGUCCCAAAAUAUAUGUUAAGUGGAAAAGGAUGUGGCGUUGCCCAGACAACUAGGAUGUUGGCUUAGAAGCAGCCAUCAUUUAAAGAGUGCGUAAUAGCUCACUAGUCGAGUGACACUGCGCCGAAAAUGUACCGGGGCUAAACAUAUUACCGAAGCUGUGGAUUGUCCUUUGGACAAUGGUAGGAGAGCGUUCUAAGGGCGUUGAAGCAUGAUCGUAAGGACAUGUGGAGCGCUUAGAAGUGAGAAUGCCGGUGUGAGUAGCGAAAGACGGGUGAGAAUCCCGUCCACCGAUUGACUAAGGUUUCCAGAGGAAGGCUCGUCCGCUCUGGGUUAGUCGGGUCCUAAGCUGAGGCCGACAGGCGUAGGCGAUGGAUAACAGGUUGAUAUUCCUGUACCACCUAUAAUCGUUUUAAUCGAUGGGGGACGCAGUAGGAUAGGCGAAGCGUGCGAUUGGAUUGCACGUCUAAGCAGUAAGGCUGAGUAUUAGGCAAAUCCGGUACUCGUUAAGGCUGAGCUGUGAUGGGGAGAAGACAUUGUGUCUUCGAGUCGUUGAUUUCACACUGCCGAGAAAAGCCUCUAGAUAGAAAAUAGGUGCCCGUACCGCAAACCGACACAGGUAGUCAAGAUGAGAAUUCUAAGGUGAGCGAGCGAACUCUCGUUAAGGAACUCGGCAAAAUGACCCCGUAACUUCGGGAGAAGGGGUGCUCUUUAGGGUUAACGCCCAGAAGAGCCGCAGUGAAUAGGCCCAAGCGACUGUUUAUCAAAACACAGGUCUCUGCUAAACCGUAAGGUGAUGUAUAGGGGCUGACGCCUGCCCGGUGCUGGAAGGUUAAGAGGAGUGGUUAGCUUCUGCGAAGCUACGAAUCGAAGCCCCAGUAAACGGCGGCCGUAACUAUAACGGUCCUAAGGUAGCGAAAUUCCUUGUCGGGUAAGUUCCGACCCGCACGAAAGGCGUAACGAUUUGGGCACUGUCUCAACGAGAGACUCGGUGAAAUCAUAGUACCUGUGAAGAUGCAGGUUACCCGCGACAGGACGGAAAGACCCCGUGGAGCUUUACUGUAGCCUGAUAUUGAAAUUCGGCACAGCUUGUACAGGAUAGGUAGGAGCCUUUGAAACGUGAGCGCUAGCUUACGUGGAGGCGCUGGUGGGAUACUACCCUAGCUGUGUUGGCUUUCUAACCCGCACCACUUAUCGUGGUGGGAGACAGUGUCAGGCGGGCAGUUUGACUGGGGCGGUCGCCUCCUAAAAGGUAACGGAGGCGCUCAAAGGUUCCCUCAGAAUGGUUGGAAAUCAUUCAUAGAGUGUAAAGGCAUAAGGGAGCUUGACUGCGAGACCUACAAGUCGAGCAGGGUCGAAAGACGGACUUAGUGAUCCGGUGGUUCCGCAUGGAAGGGCCAUCGCUCAACGGAUAAAAGCUACCCCGGGGAUAACAGGCUUAUCUCCCCCAAGAGUUCACAUCGACGGGGAGGUUUGGCACCUCGAUGUCGGCUCAUCGCAUCCUGGGGCUGUAGUCGGUCCCAAGGGUUGGGCUGUUCGCCCAUUAAAGCGGUACGCGAGCUGGGUUCAGAACGUCGUGAGACAGUUCGGUCCCUAUCCGUCGUGGGCGUAGGAAAUUUGAGAGGAGCUGUCCUUAGUACGAGAGGACCGGGAUGGACAUACCUCUGGUGUACCAGUUGUCGUGCCAACGGCAUAGCUGGGUAGCUAUGUGUGGACGGGAUAAGUGCUGAAAGCAUCUAAGCAUGAAGCCCCCCUCAAGAUGAGAUUUCCCAACUUCGGUUAUAAGAUCCCUCAAAGAUGAUGAGGUUAAUAGGUUCGAGGUGGAAGCAUGGUGACAUGUGGAGCUGACGAAUACUAAUCGAUCGAAGACUUAAUCAA